UAAUUGACAGGGUUUCGACAUUGACAUCUAUCCUGGUGAUGCUAAGGCAGCUACAUAUAUACCAUAUCUGGAUUUUGAGAAAGAAAUUGGCAUGCUGAUGGAACUGGCUAACCAUGCUAUUGAGGAUUACAACAAUAGGGAAACCACUGUUUACAAAUACAAGGUUUUGUGUAUUGAAAAAGUGAACUAUCUUCGGGCCAAAUGUCGUGAAUUUUUCAUAACUGUUGAAGCUGAAAAUCUCACUCUGCGGCGUUUAGCUAUAGAAGCCUUUCAAAUCCAUGCAUAUAAGGGACCACAUGGGGAGAAUAUUGUCCGUCUUUGCAGAAAAAGGGUGCUGAUAUGAGCAGGUGGUCUAGCCGUCAAAGAGUUGAAGUUCUAAUUUGUUUUGGUUGUAUCUAUCUAGACUAGAGGAAGCAUCGCAGGAGGCAAGGAAAGAGAGUUGAACUUUAGUUUUCUAUAUCAUGUGCUAGUUGAGAAACAUUAUAUGAUAUGUAAUUGAAGUGGAUUGUACUUGUUGUCUAAAUUAUGUAUUGCCUAUGCUCUUCUAGUUGUAAUUAGGAUUCGUAUUGGUAAAGUGGAAUUUGUUUCACCAUAUAUGUGUGAAUUUAUUCUAGUAUAGAGCCUUGAGUUGCAGUAA